rnacentral:rRNA from 1 species
GAUGAACGCUGGCGGCGUGCCUAACACAUGCAAGUCGGACGGUGCCUUCGGGCACAGUGGCGCACGGGUGAGGAACACGUAGCCAACCUGCCCUGGAGCGCGGGAUAACCCUGGGAAACGAGGGCUAAGACCGCCUACGCUCGCCGGAUGUAGAGGCCGGUGAGGAAAACCAAAAGGUGCUCUGGGAGGGGGCUGCGGCCCAUCAGGUGGUUGGUGGGGUAAUGGCCUACCAAGCCGACGACGGGUCGGGGGCUGAGAGGAUGAUCCCCCACACUGGGACUGAGACACGGCCCAGACUCCUACGGGAGGCAGCAGUGAGGAAUCUUGCACAAUGGGGGCAACCCUGAUGCAGCGACGCCGCGUGGGCGAUGAAGGUCUUCGGAUCGUAAAG